AACCAGUACCGUGAGGGAAAGGCGAAAAGAACCCCGGCGAGGGGAGUGAAACAGAACCUGAAACCGGGUACGUACAAGCAGUGGGAGCAUGAGUUUACUCAUGUGACUGCGUACCUUUUGUAUAAUGGGUCAGCGACUUAUAUUCUGUAGCAAGGUUAACCGUAUAGGGGAGCCGUAGGGAAACCGAGUCUUAACCGGGCGUUAAGUUGCAGGGUAUAGACCCGAAACCCGGUGAUCUAGCCAUGGGCAGGUUGAAGGUUGGGUAACACUAACUGGAGGACCGAACCGACUAAUGUUGAAAAAUUAGCGGAUGACCUGUGGCUGGGGGUGAAAGGCCAAUCAAACCGGGAGAUAGCUGGUUCUCCCCGAAAGCUAUUUAGGUAGCGCCUCGUGAACUCAUCUCCGGGGGUAGAGCA
rnacentral:rRNA from 1 species